AAUUGUAAAUGGGAUUGACUCCUUAAUUUCUCUUUCUUCAGUCUCAUUGUUAGUGUAAGAAUUUCCAUUUUUAAUGAGUUUCUAUAAAUGUUGUUGCUGCUUGUCCAGUGCUAUAGACUGAAUGUUUGUGUCCUCCCAAAAUUCAUAUGUUGAAAUCCUAACCUCCAAGGUGAUGGUAUCAGGGGGUGGGGGCCUUUGAAAGGUGAUUAGGUCUUGAGAACAGCACCUUUGUGAAUGAGAUUAGCACCCUUAUAAAAGAGACCCCAGAGAGCUCUCUUCCCCCUCCCACCAUGAAGGACAUAGUGGAUGGACUACCAGGAAGCAGGUUUUCACCAGAGACUGUGGCCACCCUGAUCUUGGACUUCCCAAAGUGUGAGAAAUACAUUUUUGUUAUUUAUAAGCUACGUGGCCUAUGGUAUUCUGUUAUAGCAGCCUGAAUUUAUCAAGACACCCAGGGUCUGCACUUUCAGAACUGCUAAUUAUUAACGUAGGCAUUUCCUCCAUUUUUAAGUAAGAAAAUUGAGAAUCAGAGGUUAAAUAACAAAGCUAGCAAAUCGUAGAGCCAGGUUUAAGCACAAAUUUGUUUAAUCCAAAAGUCUGUCCUUUUUGGUCUAUGUUUUACUUGUCCCUUACGUGUGAUCCUAUUGCUCAGCCACAAAGUAUGUUAAUUAUUUUGUCAGGGUCAUUCAUUCAGGGUGCUGCAUAAUUGGGGACUGGUCACUGGGAGUCUUCACAAGAUGGCAUAUAACUGAGAGGAUCAGGGUCUGGCGCUUUGGGCUCCAAAUUCAGAAACAGAUCUUGUUGUUGUUUCUGAGUUGACUGGACUUACAUGAAAAAAGUUCUCAACAGGCUGAUGUAUAAAGUCAUAAUGCCAGCUUAAUAAUUUAUUAUGAGAAAAAUAAUUGCCACAGGACCAGAAAUUCCUGGUUGGCCUGAGGGUAUGCUCUCCCUGGAGACAAGUUAUAUGUGUAAGAGAAACCAAAUUAUCAGAAGGCUGCUUGGUGACCAUGGAAGUAAGGCUAGGAGACUUAAUAUGACUCAAACACUUCAUGUCAUCAGCUUUGUUGGCAUGCCCCAGUGCGUACGUUUCCAGAAAAGAGACAACGCAUCAGGUGCAUUAGUAUAUAAGUUGGACUGACCAAGUACUUCACUGUUCCCUGGAUGGUGCCCAAAUGAACCCACUGCUAUUGGCUGUUGGGAGUCCCUUCUCCCCCUAUAUAUCUAAGGCGAUUUACCUUCUUUCAGACUCAGUGUGUUGGAAGUGUCUAAACAGUUUCAGUCUGAUGAAAACUAAGACUGGUAGGUCUGAGAAUGCUACGGUCUGAAUGUUUGUAUCCUCUCCAAAUUCAUAGGUGGAGCUCUCAUGAGGGGGCUUGGGGCCCUUAUAGAAAAGGUUCCAGAGAGUUCUCUUGUCCCUCUGCCAUGUGAAAUCACAGGAGAAGACAGCUGUCUAUGACGAAUUUUUACAGAAACCUGGUUAGGGAGAGACCUGAACACAAUAUAGGAUACUGAAGCUAACAUCCACGGUAUUUCAGUGUGACCUGUGAGUGGAUGGGAAAGACCUCGGGAAGACUCGCUGGGGUUGGAUCUUGAAGGAUGAGUAGGACUUAGAAAAUAGAAAGAAGGUGACCUCACAGGCCUAGAAGAGGAUUUGUAUGAAUAAAUCAGAGGAAAAGAAGCUGAGGGUUGAAUUCUAGAUUUUUGUAAUUUCCUAUGUUUGUGGAUUGAAGCAAGUAUAUGUUCAUGACUGGGAUAAUGCAAAACAUUCUCUAAAGUGGUGCAUUUGCCCAAAUCCACUAAUCAAACUCCUCCAAGCCCUGGGAGAAAUGGAUCACCCUGUCAGAGGAGUCCGAUGCUUCAAAUGCUACCAGUGGAGGGCAGGAGGGGUAGGGGGCCACUUCCUAGAACCACUCAGCAUCUUCAGUGCUUCCCACUUCUUCAGGGUCUUCAGGAUGGACACUGGGAAUGUCGACAUGGGGCACAGCCUUCUGAAGAUAUGGCUGAAAGGGGCUGCUUUGCAUCCUUGAGUGACUGUAGGCAGUUCAAGUGAGUGCUCUGGACCUUUCUCUUCCUGGGUCAGUCACUGGGCUAAGUGCGUGCUUGGAAGCUGCCAGGUUCUGGACGGAGCUUUUGUUAGAAAAAUCUGUGUUAACCAACAAGUUCCUGGAAUUCUAUAAAACCUUGUGGAUUUGAACACAAACAAAUAGAAAAUGUCUAUUAUCUCCAAAUUAGCCCUCCUGCUGCGUUUUCAAAUGGAUCUGAAAUCUCCAUUUACAUGCUGCAAUGGUAAAAAGCCUCUCAAAGGUUAUUUGAAAUCUGAGCUGAUUGCAAACGGAUUGAUUUCCAGCAAAUGUGGCAAAAUGACCAAGAGGGAUUCAGGACAGCAUCUUACAUACUGUGAUGUUCAAUACAAGGUCUUGGACUCGAGAUGAGAAUAAGGAUUCCUUUGCAGGUCGCAAACAUCCUGUGCUUCUCUGCCUCCCCCACCUCCUCCUUGCCCCACAUCUCCCCACGCUCCAUGCCCAAACAAAUUACCAAAUGUUAGAAGAGGAAAGUUGGAGUCCUGCUGGGUUUAUUUUGCUUUAUUUGUUCUGGAUUUAGAUUUAAAACCUUCCAGUGGAUGAACUGUAUCGAGGGCUUUUCAUUUCAUAUUGGGAAAUGUGUUGUUAUGCACAGUUCAUUCUAUUAAAAAACAAAACAUGUAAACCUAAAUUAAAAUGCAUAGCGUGGAUCCCUCAGAGGGGGCUUCUGAAACAAGCCGGGCAUGAAAUGUUGCAUAGAUUUCUUGUUAACCAGAAAAUUAUUUUAGCAAGCGACCCUUCCUGAGGUGUCAGGAAGGAGCAGGGGGUGUCUUGAGCCUCCAAAGCUGUGUGCUGGGUGCUCGAUAUUACGUACAUUUAUCUCGGCUGCCAGGAACUCUACGUUGCCAUCUGUCUUAAGCUUUGCCAGAAGCUACCUGUGGUUUAAAAGGACGGAAAGGUCUGGAGAACAAGGGGGCUUAGGGAAAUAAUGUGGAAAUAAAAUAUUAGCCAUUUUGUCGUUCACUUUCCUCCUGACACAACCAUGGGAGGCAUUUACCCCUUUUUCUCAGGUUUCAUGCUGUGAGGAUGCUUGUGUGAUGAUUUUUUAAAAACACAAAACUAACUUCCUACGGUGGACACAGUCAUAACCUGGUGUCUAGAAAUACAGUUAUGGGGCCCUUCUAUCAGGGCUGUUUGCUAGAGCACCGGAUGGAACAGGCAACUGCUGGGUGAGGAGCCCUCUGUGGGAGGAGGCCCCAGUGGUUUACCUGUCAUAGGUUCCUCUAUAGGCAAGGGCAGUAACAGAACCGAGACAGCCAUCAGUAGUUAGAGCAAAUCCUCUUUCAGGCUACAUUUCCAGAAACUGUUUCAAUGUGGUGGCAUUAAUACUAACAUCUGCCCCUUCUGUUUUCUGCAAUUGCAUUCUAAAGAAACAGCUUUGGGAAUUAGAUUUAAAAUUGUGGCUCUUGGUGAACUGUGGAACUCUAACUAAGGCCCUACCUAAGUAAGGGGAAACAGAAAUUGUCAGGGUGAAUGAAAAUGUCACAGUAAAUAUGUGGUGUUUUAAUUUCACCCUUAGCAAUAAAUUCCGAAUCCAUGCAAUAUAAUCCAAAAAAAAAAAAAAAAAAAAAGACGCAGUGAGUCUAAAUGGUAAUUGGCCAGUGGUUCUGAAAGGUCAAGCAUGGGCCAGCUACUUCAUUACCUGCUCUGUGACCCUGGCCAACUUAACUACUGUUUCCUGAUCUCUAAAUUGAAGAGUGAUGAGGAUCUUGUGUCAUAACACACAUGCUUGGCACUUUGGGAGGGUCAAUGUGUCUACUUUUUCAUUUCCAUCCCCUUUCCUUAUUUUAUAUUGUUUUUAGUAUGACAGGGUUAAACAGAAAAGUAAUAAGGUGACAUCAGAAAUCAUGCUUUCCUGUUUACUUAAAAACAAAAAUCACUUCUUCCUGUAAGCGGCCUGAGGUGAUCUCUCACAAUGUUGUGCUACUCACUCAACUCAGAAAACACUACAAGGUCAUGCAAAUCAAGAGGUUCAGAUCUUCAUGUUCACUUUAAGAACACAUGUGAAACUGCCUGGGCUAUAUUGGUGGGAUAGCGUAAAAGCCACCAAGUAUCUGAAGGAUGUCACUUUGCAGAAGCAAUGUGUGGCAUUCCGUUACUACGGUGGUGGAGCUGGUAGGUAGGGGCUACCACUAUAAACAGCAGGACUGCAUGCAGGGUCAGGGGCCCAAAUAGAGUGCUGGGUUUUGACUGCACAUGCUUAAAAAUGCAGAGAAUAAUGCUGGACUUAAGGGUUUAGAUGUAGAUUCUCUGGUCAUUGAGCUCAUCCUGGUGAACAAAGCUUCUAAGAUGCAGCAUAGAAUUUGUAGGACUCAUGGUUGGAUUCACCUAUACAUGAGUUCUCCCUGCUUCCCUGAGAUGAUCCUUACUUAAAAGGGGCAGAUUAUUCCUAACAAGGAAAGGAAGUUGAGAGAAAAAAAAAGAAGAAAAUAUCCCAGAAGAAACUGAAGAAACAAAAACUUAGGCCUUGGGAGUAAAUUCUGCAUAAAAUAAAUGUAAAUAAAAGUAAAAACAGAAAGGAAAUCACAGUAUUAAAGAGGAUUUUCAGGGGGGACCUGGGUGGCUCAGUCAGUUGAAUGGGAUGGAGCCCUGCAUCUGGCUCAUUGCUCAGUGGGGAGUCUGCUUCUCCCUUGUCUCUGCCUCUCCCCCUCCUCUGUCUCUCAUGAAUAAAUAAAUGAAAUUUAAGAAAAAAUAAAGAGGGUUUCUUUGGUAAUGCAGAGUAAAGAAAUUAUCGAAUUAUGAAGAAUCAUCACUACAAAAAUAAAGCGUGGUUGGUUUUUUGUUUUGUUUUUGCACAGUUGUAUGAUUUCAAGAUGUCCUAGUCUGACCCAUGAAACCUUGCCUAUCCUUCUGUACUUCCUCCAUGACCUUCCUUACUCAUCUCUUGUAUCCUUCAUCAGUAAAUGCUUAUAGAGCUUCCAGUGUGUUAGGAGUAGAGAUAGUUUUAGGAUAUUUGGAAGAGCUGGGCCCUAGGAAAUGGGGAUAGUAAGUCUUGGGGCUCCCUUUAUCUCUGACUCACUGUGAUGUCUUGGUAGCCUUAGAUGAGAAAAUUAGUGUUUGUCAAGGAUGAGUCCUUUCCCUACUCCUUUCUGCACUCCCCUUCUGGAUGGAGACAACCUGAACCCCUGUCCUUGAAGACCUUCCAAUUUUCAACUUGAUGAGAGUAAUAUUUCAUAAGUA